GUCAUUGAUGUACAAUAUUACAUAAGUUACAGGUGUACAAUACAGUGGUUCAUAAUUUUUAAAGUUUAUACUCCAUUUAUAGUUAUUAUAAAAUAUUGACUAUAUCCUCACACUGUACAGUAUAUCCUUGUGGCUUACUUUAUUUUUUGUCCUUCUAAGGCUGCACCUGUGGCAUAUGAAGGUUCCCAGGCUAGGGGUUGAAUCAGAGCUACAGCUGCCCACCUACGCCACAGCCGCAGCAACGCUGGAUCCAAAGCCACGUCUGUCACCUACACCACCGCUCACAGCAACCCUGGAUCCUUAACCCACUGAGUGAGGCCAGGGAUCAAACCUGCAUCCUCAUGGAUGUUAGUCAGAUUUGUUUCCGCUGAGCUAUGAUGUUUGUUCUCUACAUCUAGGAAUCUGCUUUUUUGUUAUAUUCACUAAUUGGUCAUAUUUUUUAGAUUCCCAUAUAAGUGGUAGUAUACAGAAUAUUUCUUUCUUGGUCUUAUCUAGUAUAUUCUAAGUAGUGUCUUUUAAAAACAAAUACAGAAAAUUAGAAUAUAAUAUAUUUACUACAUAAAAUGAUUAAUAAGGCAAAAUAUAUAAGUUACUAAAUUAUAUACGAAGCAAGUAAUAACUUUAAAUAUUUACUUCUCACACAGCCAAAAUUUAGCCUUUUUUCUCCAUAUUUUUAUCUCCUUUUUACUAAGGUAGGGAUAAUAUCUCAUUAUCAUGAAUCAUAUCUCAUUUACUCUCUCGGGACCAAUAGAGAGGGCCUCCCAGCCAAAAUAAAGCAAAAGUACAUUUAUUCCCUCUAAAUGCUUAAUUUGCACAACCAGGUUGUUAAAUAUAUGAUCAUCUGAUAUUAUAAAAACAGAACAUUGAAAGAUUUAGAAUUGUAUUAUAAUGAGGAAUUUCUUUAAAACUUAUUUUUCUGGUUGCAGUGUAUCUCUGCAUACUUGUCAUGACAUUUCCUUUCUUACUCGGAUAAAAGAAACCAAAUUUCCGUUGGAGAACCACUUUCAAAGGAUGGAGCUGAUGUCCAUGACUGGGAUGCACAGAGGCAUGGUCAGGCACUGACUGAAACAAGGCUGGCACUUAAUCUAAAUCCACAUGUUAAAGUCAGCACUGAGUCUACACUGGAAACACCGGAAAACAUAUGCUCUCAUGCCACUGGCAUUGCUACAGGUGCGGUUAUGCCAGGUACUGCCUUAGCUUUCUUUACCACCAUAUAGGAAAGCCAGCAAUACAGAGGUGAGAUUGAGAAAAACAAAGCCUAAUGUCCUCAUCACAUUGCAAGAGCAGAGGAGCAAGCUUGCACCUGGGAAAGUCAGCUACACACCUUGGAUGUUCCAGUUUUAGGAGUCCAUAAGUCACCUCUCUGUUUAAGUAUUUAAAUUUAGUUUCUAUUACUUGCAACGAGGCGAUGGGGAGAUAGUCUGACUUCACUACCUGGAUCUUUUCAAUGUUAAGGUGUAAAGGAAUGUUCUAUCCAUAAGAUGCAAGCCCAUAUUUGCUUACUUCUUUACUGCCUUUAUAUUUGAUUGACAAUAAAAGAACCCAACUGUUUCUUUUUCCAACAUUGGGGCAAAUUCAUUCAUUUAGUCCUUCGACAGAUGCUUACCACACACCUACUCUGUACCAGGCACUCACUGAGGAUUCAUAAUUGAACAAAACAGACAAAAUGGUCUACUUUCAGAAAAUGCAUAAUCUGUGAGAGAGAAUCAACAAUAAAUAAAUAAAUAUAACAAAUAGAAUAAAUAAAGAAAUAGACCACGUAAAUAUGCUGGAUAGCUACAUGUGCUAUAGAGAAAACCAAUGCAAGAAAGAGAGGACACUGUGUGGGUUGAUGAUGGGUUUUGUUUUGUUACGUUGUGUUGUUUUUUAAAUAGCUGGUCAGGGAAGAUAUUAUUAUAAAAGUGAUAUUUGAGCAAAGACCGAAAGACAGUGAGUUCCUUACUGAGGAAGGUGUGGGUCCUGGGACAGAGCACAAACAGGCUCAUGGGUAGAAGUGUUUGGCAAAUUUUCCUUACAGGAGCUUACCCACUUAUACAAGGAAGAAAGUCCCAUUGAUGUCCCACUAGAACCUUUUGCUGCUAACUCCCUGAGGGAACUGGCAUAUUUGUUUUGUUUCACUGGGCAAACAAAAGUCUGAGUUAGGGAUGGCUUUAGGGCCCAUGAAUCAUUAUUAUUUUCAGUGUGCACUCUCGGGCGUGAAGGCUGUGGAUGUGAAUUGCUGACUAAUUUUAUAAAGCACCUGGGGCUCCUGAGGGCAAAGGCCCUAUGUCAACACCAACAUUAAACAAAUAGCAAUAAUUGGCCAAAUCCUCUGGGGGUGCAAGACAAAUAAAAUAUGUUCCCUCUUGGAAGUUCAUGACGUCUGCCAGGUUUACCACUUGGCAACCUGGAUUAAGCAAGAAUGAGGCAAAGCAUUUUUAGAAAGCCACUUUCCUUACCAUUGUACCUGGCCUCCAAACAACUACUAUGAAAUGCUGAGAACUUAACAGCAAAUUAAAAACAAGCAUGUUUUUGAUUUCACUAGCACAUAACAUUCUGAACAACCACUCGAAAUAUUAGUC
rnacentral:lncRNA from 1 species